AGAGUUUGAUCCUGGCUCAGAUUGAACGCUGGCGGCAGGCCUAACACAUGCAAGUCGAGCGGUAGCACAGAGAGCUUGCUCUCGGGUGACGAGCGGCGGACGGGUGAGUAAUGUCUGGGAAACUGCCUGAUGGAGGGGGAUAACUACUGGAAACGGUAGCUAAUACCGCAUAACGUCGCAAGACCAAAGUGGGGGACCUUCGGGCCUCAUGCCAUCAGAUGUGCCCAGAUGGGAUUAGCUAGUAGGUGGGGUAAUGGCUCACCUAGGCGACGAUCCCUAGCUGGUCUGAGAGGAUGACCAGCCACACUGGAACUGAGACACGGUCCAGACUCCUACGGGAGGCAGCAGUGGGGAAUAUUGCACAAUGGGCGCAAGCCUGAUGCAGCCAUGCCGCGUGUAUGAAGAAGGCCUUCGGGUUGUAAAGUACUUUCAGCGAGGAGGAAGGCGUUAAGGUUAAUAACCUUAGCGAUUGACGUUACUCGCAGAAGAAGCACCGGCUAA
rnacentral:rRNA from 1 species